rnacentral:rRNA from 1 species
AGAGUUGNAUCCUGGCUCAGGAUGAACGCUGGCGGCGUGCCUAACACAUGCAAGUCGAACGGAGUUCUUAAGGAAUGCGACUUCGGUCAAAUGACUUUUGAACUUAGUGGCGGACGGGUGAGUAACGCGUGAGCAACCUGCCUUUCAGAGGGGGAUAACAUUUAGAAACAGAUGCUAAUACCGCAUAAGAUUACAGUACCGCAUGAUACAGUGAUCAAAGGAGCAAUCCGCUGAAAGAUGGGCUCGCGUCCGAUUAGAUAGUUGGUGAGGUAACGGCUCACCAAGUCGACGAUCGGUAGCCGGACUGAGAGGUUGAACGGCCACAUUGGGACUGAGACACGGCCCAGACUCCUACGGGAGGCAGCAGUGGGGAAUAUUGCACAAUGGGCGAAAGCCUGAUGCAGCAACGCCGCGUGAGGGAAGACGGUUUUCGGAUUGUAAACCUCUGUUUUCGGUGACGAACAAAUGACGGUAACCGAGUAGGAAGCCACGGCUAACUACGUGCCAGCAGCCGCGGUAAUACGUAGGUGGCAAGCGUUAUCCGGAAUUACUGGGUGUAAAGGGAGCGCAGGCGGGAUAGCAAGUCAGCUGUGAAAACUAUGGGCUCAACCCAUAAACUGCAGUUGAAACUGUUAUUCUUGAGUGGAGUAGAGGCAAGCGGAAUUCCGAGUGUAGCGGUGAAAUGCGUAGAUAUUCGGAGGAACACCAGUGGCGAAGGCGGCUUGCUGGGCUCUAACUGACGCUGAGGCUCGAAAGUGUGGGGAGCAAACAGGAUUAGAUACCCUGGUAGUCCACACUGUAAACGAU